rnacentral:lncRNA from 1 species
CUGCUCCAGCAGAUAGACACCAGCAGCACAUAACUCUCUGAUCACCUCACUGAUGAGAUACAGACACUGGCGUUUGAAGAGAGGCAGUUAACAGCAGGAAGCCCAGGAUCCAUCCUGAUGUCUCCCCUCUCUCAGUACCCCCUGCCGAGCCAUAAAGACUGUCUGGUCCAUUACACCCUUAGCCACUGUGUCUCGGGGCAGGACUGGUUAAUGUUGAUGAUCAAGGAGUGUUGA